rnacentral:misc_RNA from 1 species
GAUGAAGAACGUAGCGAAAUGCGAUACGUAAUGUGAAUUGCAAAUUCAGUGAAUCAUCGAAUCUUUGAACGCACAUUGCGCCCCUUGGUAUUCCAUGGGGCAUGCCUGUUCGAGCGUCAUUUGUACCUUCAAGCUUUGCUUGGUGUUGGGUGUUUGUCUCGCCUUUGCGUGUAGACUCGCCUUAAAAUAAUUGGCAGCCGGCGUAUUGAUUUCGGAGCGCAGUACAUCUCGCGCUUUGCACUCAUAACGACAGCGUCCAAAAGUACAUUUUACACUCUUGACCUCGGAUCAGGUAGGGAUACCCGCUGAACUUAAGCAUAUCAAUAAGCGGAGGA